rnacentral:rRNA from 1 species
UACGUAGGGGGCAAGCGUUGUCCGGAAUUAUUGGGCGUAAAGCGCGCGCAGGCGGUCUUUUAAGUCUGAUGUGAAAGCCCACGGCUCAACCGUGGAGGGUCAUUGGAAACUGGGAGACUUGAGUGUAGGAGAGGAAAGUGGAAUUCCACGUGUAGCGGUGAAAUGCGUAGAGAUGUGGAGGAACACCAGUGGCGAAGGCGGCUCACUGGACCGGUUCUGACGCUGAUGCGCGAAAGCGUGGGAGCAAACGGG